UAGGGAAUCUUCGGCAAUGGGGGCAAACCCUGACCGAGCAACGCCGCCGUGAGUGAAGAAGGUUUCGGAUCGUAAAGCUCUGUUGUAAGAGAAGAACGUGUGUGAGAGUAGGAAAGUUCACACAGUGACGGUAACUUACCAGAAAGGGACGGCUAACUACGUGCCA
rnacentral:rRNA from 1 species